rnacentral:lncRNA from 1 species
GUCUCCCCUGUAUUUGCACGGCGUUACACAAGUACAAGAUGUUCAAACAAAGUACAACCACCAUAAUGAAUAUACAACAUUAACAUUCAUUCACCAUUCACUACAGAUUUACCAUUCAGUGUUUAAAUAUAAAACCACAACUAUUAGUUAAAACGUUUCCUACCCGAAAACUGGUUUUGAAAUACUAAGUUACAAAAACCACGAGAAAACCCUUUUAAACUGUUUCCCACACGGAAACCUUUUUCUUUUUAAAACUCGCUACCACGAGGGGUAGAAAACCUUUCUAUUUUACAAAAAUCCACAAAUCUUUAUUAAAUUCAGAAAACCAACUGAAAUCUUGAAUAUUGUAACAUAAUAAAAUACUGAACCAUAUUAGCUGUCUAAGUUAUAUCAACAGAAAUAAAGGGGUUAGCAACUAAACCGAACAAACCGGGUCGGAAGGUCCAUCGACCGCUACAAACGUCUCACGUCUCGUCUAAACCCUCACCGCCCGCAAUUCGUGAAAAUAUGGUGGGGGAGAUGAGAACAUGUAACAUAUCUCCCCUCCCAGUGAGUACCGCAAGCCGACGAAGGCGAUAAGUGCUCACAGGAUCAGGAAGAGAUAAAUAGCAGUAUGGGUAAGUGAAAUACAGUAGCAACGAU